CCUACGGGGGGCAGCAGUGGGGAAUAUUGCGCAAUGGGCGAAAGCCUGACGCAGCGACGCCGCGUGAGGGAUGAAGGUCUUCGGAUCGUAAACCUCUGUCAGCAGGGAAGAACGGUCACUGUGCUAAUCAGCAGUGAAUUGACGGUACCUGCAAAGGAAGCACCGGCUAACUCCGUGCCAGCCGCCGCGGUAAUACGGAGGGUGCGAGCGUUAAUCGGAAUUACUGGGCGUAAAGCGAUCGUAGGCGGUAUGUCAAGUCAAGGGUGAAAUCCCCGCGCUCAACGUGGGAACUGCCGUUGAAACUGGCAAACUGGAGUGUGUGAGAGGAUAGUGGAAUUCCAGGUGUAGGAGUGAAAUCCGUAGAUAUCUGGAGGAACAUCAGUGGCGAAGGCGACUAUCUGGCACAUAACUGACGCUGAGGAGCGAAAGCGUGGGUAGCAAACAGGAUUAGAUACCCGAGUAGUC
rnacentral:rRNA from 1 species